rnacentral:sRNA from 1 species
AGAUGCUGUCGGGUGGCGACGGCGCUUGGCAGCCAGGAGCUCUGCAUUGAAGGCACUGGGGUAAAGUGAAUGCCGAAGACAGAAGAUUUGGAUGAUACACCACUGAAUUUCUUUGUUUGGAAUACACGUUAUGAACCCUUUCUGGAGCAUGUCUACAAGCUCUGUACGCAAACGAUCUGAAGGUGAAGAGAAGACAUUAACAGGGGACGUGAAAACCAGUCCUCCACGAACUGCACCAAAGAAACAGCUGCCUUCUAUUCCCAAAAAUGCUUUGCCCAUAACUAAGCCUACAUCUCCUGCCCCAGCAGCACAGUCAACAAAUGGCACGCAUGCGUCCUAUGGACCCUUCUACCUGGAAUACUCUCUUCUUGCAGAAUUUACCUUGGUUGUGAAGCAGAAGCUACCAGGCGUCUAUGUGCAGCCAUCUUAUCGCUCUGCAUUAAUGUGGUUUGGAGUAAUAUUCAUACGGCAUGGACUCUACCAAGAUGGCGUAUUUAAGUUUACAGUUUACAUCCCUGAUAACUAUCCAGAUGGUGACUGUCCAGUAAGUUGGAGACACAGUCUGGCUUCAUUUGUGGAUCAGCGAGAAGGGCUGAAAGGGCUUACAGCUUUCCUGGUUCUUUUCCUGACCUGGUACCUUUAUGAUUUAUCUACCCAGUAGUUGUCCAGGGGGACUUCUGUGCUUUGCAGCAGCUUCCAGCAUGCCAUCAGAGCUUUGUUUCUCUGCUCAGGGUCUGCAAGGGAGGCUGCUGCCUGCCAUCCUGCAGCACUCACCAGGUGAAUGGUGGCCCUCAGGCUCUAGUGGAGGAGAGGGAGUUUUCCCCGCUUCAUUGCAAA